AAACACGGCGAAGACGAGAAAAUCCUACAAACCGUUGACUGUAUAAUUAACAACGGUAGUACAGAUAAUUAUCAUGAUUUAGUAUAAACAUGAUCAAAGAACAAGGUACGAUUGUGUACAUAAAAAGGCCCCAAAAAAUUCUUCGAUUUAAAUGUGUCUUAAAUCAAGCUUGAUCUGUGUUUUAAAAAAGCUAAAUACAUGCCAAGUAUACUAUUUCAACUUAAAUUAAAGUUAUUUCUUAUUUUAUAGCAUUAUUAUGUCAUGGAUAAGAGUUCUUCCUGCCUUUUUUUCAAAAAGAGCUUGAUAACUGUUAAAUUUCAUCCAGAUUAUUGCUUAGGAAAAGGUGUGCCCAUCUGUAUGUGUUUGAAUAUAAAUUUGCUUGACGCAUGGGCUGUAUGUUUUCUGAAAGGAAAACCCCCUGAAUUUAUGAAAAUUUUCAUUGAUUUUUGCAUUUUUUGGCAAUUUUAUGCCAACUUCACGCUCCUGUCAUACAACACAAAGCAAUUUUGGAUCAAAUUAAAUGUAGUUUGGAGUUGCUUAUAUAUUCCUUAUUUGAAUGCCAGAUUUUGGGACUCCUACUGAAAUCAUCUAUUUUCUGGGCCAGAUGACUAUAGAAAAUGUCUCUACUUUUUUGUUUAGAAAUGAAUUUUGACUAUGAAAUGGUUAUAUGAAGCUCUUCUGAUCAGAAUUUCAUAUAUACAUGUAAGUAAAUAAAUCAAAGAUGAAUAGGUCUAACUUUAUAUGUUGAAAUUUGCAUCAUCAGAUACACACACACUCUCUCUCUUUUCUGUUUGAAAAAGAAUGUUCAAAGCAAAUGGUGGAGCGAUACUAAAAUUACAAAUUUUUAUAUUAGGUGAAAUAAACCAAUUUUUACAGUCAUGCAAGAGUUGGGGAUGAUUUUUUUUUCAAAUGAAGCACUAAUUUGCACGUUGGUUUCCUUAUUGGGGACAAAAUUGAAAGAAAAAAAAUAACAUUAAGGUAGAGACCGAUAGCAACCACGUGAUCAGUAAAAAUCGUGUAUUUUCACGUGAAAUUAUUUUUCGGAAUUCCGUACAUCUCCAUAGAGUAGUUGAAAAUCAAAAAGGGGUUCCGAAAGUACAAGUUGUUGCUGUGACUGAAUCGAUGAUUGAGAGGGUCGUCUCGACGAAAGAUAGAGAAAUUUGGGCAUAGUUUAGAUUAGGAAUACGUCAAUGUAAUAAUAGUGGGCUAAAUGUUUCGUCCGUGCAGAAUGGCACUUUUUACCUCAUGAAAUUCACCACCAUGCAUAGCUGUGCUACAUAAACAAAGUUGUUGAUGUAGCGUGAUCGUGAUGUCCGAGUGCUGCGAGUUUCAAUACUGUUUAUGUAGUCAUUGAGAGUUUAAACAAAGUUUCUUCUGAGAAGAGGAAUUCGAUGGAUGCAUUCAACGUGGACAACGAAAUCAUAAUUUCGUUUGCAUCAUCCUAAGGACCAGUGCAAGUUGAAAUGGGCUUCCAGCCAACAACUUCAACAGCAAUUUGCCAUGAAAAUCAGCAAGAAAGGUACUUCAUUUACAUUGAUGAUGUCAUAUCCCCUGGACCCCACAACUUUACAGGUUACAGAGAAAAUUCAAGAACUUCUGCAAAAUGUGGGACUUGGAUAGAAUCAAUAAUGUAUUUGUGAGCCCAGAGCAAUGGAUAUAUUGUGCAACAUACUAUUCUAUUAGUGUGAAUUUAAUGGAAAACAAGUACAUGUACUCAUGUAUUACAUGUCUUUUUUAAGACAAUAAUAUUGAAUAAAUAUAGAGGAAGUGUCAUUGUUGAUUAUUCUAAGUUUUUGAUAUCUCAAAUUCAGUAAACAUUUCUAAAUGAAAAUAAAACACCAAUUUUAUAACUUUAAUCAAUGUGUUUAAAUUUCUCAUUUUCUACCCCCACCCCCCUUACACACACAGUGCAUAUAUACUGUGAAUGCAAUAUGCAUGCAUUCUAAGUUAUCCAAGCGAGUUUUUGUUUCAGUGUGAGACUACAAGUAGGACUCAUAAACUUAUGAAGAGACAUAUAUAUUUGUGAGAGCAAGAUAGCUGAUAUGAGCCUUGAGAUCAAUGGGUCGAGCCGCGGUGGUGGUCUAGAGGUUAGAGCGUUCGCCCCGCAUGCGGAAGGCCAGGAUUCUAAUCCCGGC